rnacentral:rRNA from 1 species
GACGAACCGUGCGAACGUUGUUCGGAAUCACUGGGCUUAAAGGGCGCGUAGGCGGCUGAUCAAGUCCGGGGUGAAAUCUCUCGGCUCAACCGGGAGAGGUUGUCCGAUACUUCCAGACUUGAGGGCAGUAGAGGGUGGUGGAAUUCCGGGUGUAGUGGUGAAAUGCGUAGAUAUCCGGAGGAACACCAGUGGCGAAAGCGGCCACCUGGACUGCACCUGACGCUGACACGCGAAAGCGUGGGGAGCAAACAGG